AAUUAAUGGUAUGUAUUUAUUUCAUGUAUAUGUAAAUAUUUUCAUAUUUUAAUAAGAUAAUCAAAGUCUAGAAAAUAAUAAAUAACUCUUUUAAAAAAAGGUUCUUUUUCUUAAAAAUAUUUUUUGAUGAUUAAUUUUUUUAAAUAUGUUAAAAAAUUUGAAAAAUAUUUUUUAAGAAAAUGCUUUCCAUAAAACAAAUAGAACAUAAAAUUUACAAAAAUACAUAUAUUUGCAUGUAUUUGCGUGUGAUAAGACGCAUGUAAAAUUAAAAAGAUUAAAAUAAUUAUAAUUUUUCAUGAUUUUAGUAAAUUUUUUUAAAAUUGAUUAAGAAAUUUUUUUUUUAAAUUGAUUAAGAAUACACACCUAAGUAAUUCGUGCUUAGCCAGUCCCAAACUUGGAUAAACUCGGACAACCAACGUAAAAAUUUUGUCACACCUCAUGAUAUGAAAAUUCUUACGAUAUAAACGUUGGGACGUCUUUUAUUUACGACGCGCUAUAUCGGAGCACGGGUGUAGUGAGAAAUAUGCAAGAGUGUAGGGUGUUCACCAAAAGCGAAAUGUCAUGCCGGCGUUCGGGUGUGGUGUUAAAUGAGCAAGAGUUCCCACAUCAUGGACAGGUGUGAGUAAAGAAAUUAGUCCAUAAGACAGAUAAUACAACAGAUAGUAGAAUAGAACACCAGAUAGACAUAGAGAACA
rnacentral:misc_RNA from 1 species